rnacentral:tRNA from 1 species
UGCAGUGUAGUGGUCAGACACCUGGACUCUGGAGCCAGGCUGCCUGGGUUCAAAUCCCAGCUCUGCAG